GGCAAAAAUACACAAUUAUAACAAAAAAUGUGGACUCUGAUCAUUCUGUGUUACUGGGGAGUAAUGUGGUCACCAUUUCCUCCUCCUUCAGCCUUCAGAUAGACAAGGAUUACUCCAACUUAAUGUACUAGAUACCCCAAAGGCACCAGGUCUGGGGAAGUUAUUCUCACCCUUCCUGUAAUUUUCAGGGUCUUUUUCUUGUGUCUUUGCUUAUUAGCUUAGGACAGCCUUCAAGGAAGUUGUUUUGUUUCAUCUUCAUUUUUGCCAACAGUGCUGUUUGGAUUCUGAGGAGGAUAGAGAAAAGGCUCCCCCAAGAAGGAAAGGCAUGGGUUUGGGCACAAAAACAACAGCCGCAACAGCAGCAACAACAACUCAUCAGCUCAUGUCUUCUUGGCUUUUGAUACAAAGGCAACACAGAAAACUAUUCCUACCAGCUUCUUCUGUGUGGCAACAUUUUUUUCUAACCUUGUUUCUGCACCGAAGCUAUUGUCCACUGUUCGUCCCAGCUUUAUGCAAGAGUCUCCAAACCAGCUUCCUACUCUUCUUGGCCACAGGACCUGUGUCUCCAGCUGUACUGGUCCAUUCUAACACUGCUAUAAAGAACUACUUGAAACUAGGUAAUUUAUAA
rnacentral:lncRNA from 1 species